AGUGAACGCUGGCGGUAGGCCUAACACAUGCAAGUCGAACGGCAGCACAGUAAGAGCUUGCUCUUACGUGUGUCGAGUGGCGGACGGUUGCGUAAUACUUCGGAAUCUACUUUUUCGUGGGGGCUAACGUAGGGAAACUUACGCUAAUACCGCAUACGACCUACUGGUGAAAGCAGGGGAUCUUCGGACCUUGCGCGAUUGAAUGAGCCUAUGUCGGAUUAGCUAGUUGGCGGGGUAAAGGCCCACCAAGGCCACGAUCCGUAGCUGGUCUGAGAGGAUGAUCAGACAGACUGGAACUGAGACACGGUACAGACUCCUACGGGAGGCAGCAGUGGGGAAUAUUGGACAAGGGGGGCAAGCCUGAUCCAGCCAUACCGCGUAGGGGAAGAAGGACUUAGGGUUGUAAAGCCCUUUUGUUGGGAAAGAAAAGCAGCAGGUUAAUACCCCGCGGUUCUGACGGUACCCAAAGAAUAAGCACCGGCUAACUUCGUG
rnacentral:rRNA from 1 species